UAUAAUGGGUCAGCGACUUAUAUUCUGUAGCAAGGUUAACCGAAUAGGGGAGCCGAAGGGAAACCGAGUCUUAACUGGGCGUUAAGUUGCAGGGUAUAGACCCGAAACCCGGUGAUCUAGCCAUGGGCAGGUUGAAGGUUGGGUAACACUAACUGGAGGACCGAACCGACUAAUGUUGAAAAAUUAGCGGAUGACUUGUGGCUGGGGGUGAAAGGCCAAUCAAACCGGGAGAUAGCUGGUUCUCCCCGAAAGCUAUUUAGGUAGCGCCUCGUGAAUUCAUCUCCGGGGGUAGAGCACUGUUUCGGCAAGGGGGUCAUCCCGACUUACCAACCCGAUGCAAACUGCGAAUACCGGAGAAUGUUAUCACGGGAGACACACGGCGGGUGCUAACGUCCGUCGUGAAGAGGGAAACAACCCAGACCGCCAGCUAAGGUCCCAAAGUCAUGGUUAAGUGGGAAACGAUGUGGGAAGGCCCAGACAGCCAGGAUGUUGGCUUAGAAGCAGCCAUCAUUUAAAGAAAGCGUAAUAGCUCACUGGUCGAGUCGGCCUGCGCGGAAGAUGUAACGGGGCUAAACCAUGCACCGAAGCUGCGGCAGCGACGCUGAUGCGUUGUUGGGUAGGGGAGCGUUCUGUAAGCCUGCGAAGGUGUGCUGUGAGGCAUGCUGGAGGUAUCAGAAGUGCGAAUGCUGACAUAAGUAACGAUAAAGCGGGUGAAAAGCCCGCUCGCCGGAAGACCAAGGGUUCCUGUCCAACGUUAAUCGGGGCAGGGUGAGUCGACCCCUAAGGCGAGGCCGAAAGGCGUAGUCGAUGGGAAACAGGUUAAUAUUCCUGUACUUGGUGUUACUGCGAAGGGGGGACGGAGAAGGCUAUGUUGGCCGGGCGACGGUUGUCCCGGUUUAAGCGUGUAGGCUGGUUUUCCAGGCAAAUCCGGAAAAUCAAGGCUGAGGCGUGAUGACGAGGCACUACGGUGCUGAAGCAACAAAUGCCCUGCUUCCAGGAAAAGCCUCUAAGCAUCAGGUAACAUCAAAUCGUACCCCAAACCGACACAGGUGGUCAGGUAGAGAAUACCAAGGCGCUUGAGAGAACUCGGGUGAAGGAACUAGGCAAAAUGGUGCCGUAACUUCGGGAGAAGGCACGCUGAUAUGUAGGUGAAGUCCCUCGCGGAUGGAGCUGAAAUCAGUCGAAGAUACCAGCUGGCUGCAACUGUUUAUUAAAAACACAGCACUGUGCAAACACGAAAGUGGACGUAUACGGUGUGACGCCUGCCCGGUGCCGGAAGGUUAAUUGAUGGGGUUAGCCGCAAGGCGAAGCUCUUGAUCGAAGCCCCGGUAAACGGCGGCCGUAACUAUAACGGUCCUAAGGUAGCGAAAUUCCUUGUCGGGUAAGUUCCGACCUGCACGAAUGGCGUAAUGAUGGCCAGGCUGUCUCCACCCGAGACUCAGUGAAAUUGAACUCGCUGUGAAGAUGCAGUGUACCCGCGGCAAGACGGAAAGACCCCGUGAACCUUUACUAUAGCUUGACACUGAACAUUGAGCCUUGAUGUGUAGGAUAGGUGGGAGGCUUAGAAGUGUGGACGCCAGUCUGCAUGGAGCCGACCUUGAAAUACCACCCUUUAAUGUUUGAUGUUCUAACGUUGACCCGUAAUCCGGGUUGCGGACAGUGUCUGGUGGGUAGUUUGACUGGGGCGGUCUCCUCCUAAAGAGUAACGGAGGAGCACGAAGGUUGGCUAAUCCUGGUCGGACAUCAGGAGGUUAGUGCAAUGGCAUAAGCCAGCUUGACUGCGAGCGUGACGGCGCGAGCAGGUGCGAAAGCAGGUCAUAGUGAUCCGGUGGUUCUGAAUGGAAGGGCCAUCGCUCAACGGAUAAAAGGUACUCCGGGGAUAACAGGCUGAUACCGCCCAAGAGUUCAUAUCGACGGCGGUGUUUGGCACCUCGAUGUCGGCUCAUCACAUCCUGGGGCUGAAGUAGGUCCCAAGGGUAUGGCUGUUCGCCAUUUAAAGUGGUACGCGAGCUGGGUUUAGAACGUCGUGAGACAGUUCGGUCCCUAUCUGCCGUGGGCGCUGGAGAACUGAGGGGGGCUGCUCCUAGUACGAGAGGACCGGAGUGGACGCAUCACUGGUGUUCGGGUUGUCAUGCCAAUGGCACUGCCCGGUAGCUAAAUGCGGAAGAGAUAAGUGCUGAAAGCAUCUAAGCACGAAACUUGCC
rnacentral:rRNA from 1 species